CAGUUUCAUUCAACUAAACAUUCUGUGUCGUGUACAGAAAAAUAACAAUAAUCAUCAAUAAAAAUAAAUACAAACAGUGACCGAUGCGUCACAUGACCCAGGGUGUCCAUGACCACUUCCGGGUUACCGGGUUACUUCCGGGUAAACAAACCAACGUUAAUGUUGGCGUCGUGUGUGCUUCGUGUUAAUGUAUGCAUGGGGAUGGUGAGUCGGCAACCUAGUGUGCACCCAGGGCUACCUGCAGAGGGAUAGGGACGGAAUGAAAAGGUGGAGUACCUUGUCUCUCUCGGCUGCAGUUUCCGACUGAGGUACAGGACUGGUCGCUCUUCACCUGGGUCUCCCUGAGCCAGGACAGCACCAAGUCCGACUGCUGAGGCAUCCACUUGGACGAGGAACCUUUGAUCAAAGUCACGGGGUUUUUCUGCCUCUUCUCUGUAAGGGCAGUGAGAGGAGCUGCCAUGGUGGCGAACUGAUGGACAAACCGCCGGUACCAUCCAGCUAACCCCAGGAAGGAGCGUACCUCUUUCUUGGUGCGUGGUCGAGGGCAAUUGCGGAUAACUUCAACUUUAUCCACCUGCGGACGCACCUCACCACCUCCCAGCAGGUACCCCAGGUAACGAGUUUCCUUCCGGGCCCACUCACACUUGCUCACGUUUAAGGUCAGGCCUGCAUU